AUACGGAGGGUGCAAGCGUUACUCGGAAUCACUGGGCGUAAAGCGCGCGCAGGCGGUCUUUUAAGUUGGAUGAGAAAGCCUACGGCUCAACCGUAGAACUGCAUCCAAAACUAUUAGACUAGAGUGUGGGAGAGGAAGAUGGAAUUAGUUGUGUAGGGGUAAAAUCCGUAGAGAUAACUAGGAAUACCAAAAGCGAAGGCAAUCUUCUGGAACACUACUGACGCUGAGGCGCGAAAGCGUGGGGAGCAAACAGGAUUAGAAACCCCAGAGUCC
rnacentral:rRNA from 1 species